rnacentral:rRNA from 1 species
GAUGAACGCUGGCGGCGUGCCGAAUACAUGCAAGUCGAGCGAACGGACGAGAAGCUUGCUUCUCUGAUGUUAGCGGCGGACGGGUGAGUAACACGUGGAUAACCUACCUAUAAGACUGGGAUAACUUCGGGAAACCGUAGCUAAUACCGGAUAAUAUUUUGAACCGCAUGGUUCAAAAGUGAAAGACGGUCUUGCUGUCACUUAUAGAUGGAUCCGCGCUGCAUUAGCUAGUUGGUAAGGUAACGGCUUACCAAGGCAACGAUGCAUAGCCGACCUGAGAGGGUGAUCGGCCACACUGGAACUGAGACACGGUCCAGACUCCUACGGGAGGCAGCAGUAGGGAAUCUUCCGCAAUGGGCGAAAGCCUGACGGAGCAACGCCGCGUGAGUGAUGAAGGUCUUCGGAUCGUAAAACUCUGUUAUUAGGGAAGAACAUAUGUGUAAGUAACUGUGCACAUCUUGACGGUACCUAAUCAGCAAGCCACGGCUAACUACGUG